rnacentral:rRNA from 1 species
UACAGAGGUCUCAAGCGUUGUUCGGAUUCAUUGGGCGUAAAGGGUGCGUAGGCGGCGCGGUAAGUCGGGUGUGAAAUCUCGGGAGCUUAACUCCGAAACUGCAUUCGAUACUGCCCGGUGCUUGAGGACUGGAGAGGAGACUGGAAUUUACGGUGUAGCGGUGAAAUGCGUAGAUAUCGUAAGGAAGACCAGUGGCGAAGGCGGGGUCUCUGGGACAGUUCCU